UCCAGACUCCUAGGGAGGCAGCAGUGGGGAAUAUUGGGCAAUGGGCGCAAGCCUGACCCAGCAACGCCGCGUGAAGGAAGAAGGCUUUCGGGUUGUAAACUUCUCUUGUCAGGGACGAAGCAAGUGACGGUACCUGACGAAUAAGCCACGGCUAACUACGUGCCAGCAGCCGCGGUAAUACGUAGGUGGCAAGCGUUAUCCGGAUUUAUUGGGUGUAAAGGGCGUGUAGGCGGGAAUGCAAGUCAGAUGUGAAAACUAUGGGCUCAACCCAUAGCCUGCAUUUGAAACUGUAUUUCUUGAGUGCUGGAGAGGCAAUCGGAAUUCCGUGUGUAGCGGUGAAAUGCGUAGAUAUACGGAGGAACACCAGUGGCGAAGGCGGCCUGCUGGACAUUAACUGACGCUGAGGCGCGAAAGCGUGGGGAGCAAACAGGAUUAGAUACCCCUGUAAC
rnacentral:rRNA from 1 species